rnacentral:rRNA from 1 species
GUAGGGAAUCUUGCGCAAUGGGCGAAAGCCUGACGCAGCCAUGCCGCGUGAAUGAUGAAGGUCUUAGGAUUGUAAAAUUCUUUCACCGGGGACGAUAAUGACGGUGCCCGGAGAAGAAGCCCCGGCUAACUUCGUGCCAGCAGCCGCGGUAAUACGAAGGGGGCUAGCGUUGCUCGGAAUUACUGGGCGUAAAGGGCGCGUAGGCGGACAGUUUAGUCAGAGGUGAAAGCCCAGGGCUCAACCUUGGAAUUGCCUUUGAUACUGGCUGUCUUGAGUAUGGGAGAGGUGUGUGGAACUCCGAGUGUAGAGGUGAAAUUCGUAGAUAUUCGGAAGAACACCAGUGGCGAAGGCGACACACUGGCCCAUUACUGACGCUGAGGCGCGAAAGCGUGGGGAGCAAACAGGAUUAGAAACCUAGUAGUCC